rnacentral:rRNA from 1 species
UACGUAGGGCGCAAGCGUUGUCCGGAAUUAUUGGGCGUAAAGAGCUCGUAGGCGGUCUGUUACGUCCGCUGUGAAAACCCAGGGCUUAACCCUGGGCUUGCAGUGGAUACGGGCAGACUAGAGGCAGGUAGGGGAGAAUGGAAUUCCCGGUGUAGCGGUGAAAUGCGCAGAUAUCGGGAGGAACACCGGUGGCGAAGGCGGUUCUCUGGGCCUGACCUGACGCUGAGGAGCGAAAGCUAGGGGAGCGAACGGG